ACUCAAAAUCUUGCAAAAAACCCCAAAAAACCCAGGAAAAAUCAACCCCGAAAUAAUUUAAAUUAAUAAUUCCAAAUUUCACCAUUGGAAAAAAGUGAAUUCCAGAGAAAAUCCCUCAUUAAUCCAUCACCACGACAAAGGAGAUCAAAUUUGGGAGAUAAAUUCUUCCUUUUUUUCCUCCCCACUUUGGGGGAAAAUACCCAAUUUUUAGGGAUUUGGGAAUAAAACUUCCAAAUUUGGGGCAUGAUCGCAGCUCAGCUGGAGUAUUUUUGGGAUGGAUUCCUCGGGAUGGAUUCCUCAGGAUGGAUUCCAUGGGAUGGAUUGUCAGGAUUCCUCGGGAUGGAUUCCAUGGGAUGGAUUCCAUGGGAUGGAUUCCAUGGGAUGGAUUCCAUGGGAUGGAUUCCUCAGGAUGGAUUCCUCAGGAUGGAUUCCUCAGGAUGGAUUCCUUGGGAAGGAUUAUCAGGAUUCCUCGGGAUGGAUCCCUCGGGAGGGAUUCCUCGGGAGAAGCGCUCAGCACUGCUCGGCCUCCACAAUUCCCUCUUUCUCCUGGCUGGCCGCCUCCACCUCGGCGUAGGAGCUGCGGCGGCCGCGGCUCCGGAAUUUCAUGGCGGG
rnacentral:lncRNA from 1 species